rnacentral:rRNA from 1 species
CGGCGGACGGGUGAGUAAUGCCUAGGAAUCUACUCUGUCGUGGGGGAUAACGUAGGGAAACUUACGCUAAUACCGCAUACGACCUACGGGUGAAAGCAGGGGAUCUUCGGACCUUGCGCGAUUGAAUGAGCCGAUGUCGGAUUAGCUAGUUGGCGGGGUAAAGGCCCACCAAGGCGACGAUCCGUAGCUGGUCUGAGAGGAUGAUCAGCCACACUGGAACUGAGACACGGUCCAGACUCCUACGGGAGGCAGCAGUG